UUUUGUAAUCGCCGGCACCCGGCACAAGCGGGCGUCCGGGAAAGCGCCGCCGCGGUGCGCACAGGGCUGGCUCUAUAAAUCUCCAUUAGAUCAGACAGUGCCGGGGGUGGAGGGGCGGAGUUGCCAGAAAUAGCUCCUUUCCUGCAAACUUCUCAAGACCGCAGCUGCUACGUGGCCUGAACAGAGUAGGCGCCCCCGGUGGAGAAUGCAAGGCCAGAGAAGUGGGGUCUGUGCGCCCAGGCCGAGGCCACGAACGCCGGAGACUGCCCCGGAGCCGCUUCGAAAGGUCUCAUAAAAGUGCCAUUUGUUGGGAGCCCGCAGGAAGUGGAGGCAGCUUUGGCACACGUGGCCACGGUGCUAAAUUAACUGUUAACACAAAUAAUCAGAGUGCAAGACCCAUCGAGCGGCUGGCGCCAGCGAAGAGCAAGGGGAGGCGGUCAGCCCGGCGGCGGCGGGCGGCAGGCCACUUCUGCAACCUUGCUCUGUGAGCUGUGUGCCCAAAACCAUCACCUUCAAAUUGCAAGUAGAGAAAUUAAGUGGGUGCUGCCAAAGUGGACUGACCAGCUCAGGGCUGGGCCUCCUCACCCUCAUGCUCCAUAAGGGCCCUGGGUGCCCAGUGCCAGAUGAUAUCUACGUUGCCAAGAGCUCCGAAGGAAUGAAGCCCCUUUUGAAGGAGGUGGGAGAGGAGGCCCAAAUCAUGGCAUGUGUUUUGGGGUGCCCUUCCUAGGAUCCUGGAAUUAGGAGAGGGUACUUUCUGGAAAGAACUGUCUUUUGAGAAGAUUCUUAAACACUAGCUGAUACCUAUUCUUGGGUAAGCUGUCCUCAUCCAGGUGUGUCUCUAAGGAGCAAAGCAACAUAGAAUCAGAAUUAGCCUAGCAAACAAAUUGGGGGGGGGGGGGGAAGCAAGAGACACAAAUUUAUAAAUUGCAUAGUGACCCUAAGAUGCCUCAGUGAGGAAAAACACUGUCCUAUUUUUACUAAAUCAGAGUGGUCAGCUUCUAAAAGCUGAAAUACAAGAUCAAAUUUAUAAUCUGGCAUAAUUUAGUUUUUAUGAGUUUUUAGAAACUGGAUUUUACUUUAGUUCAUUUAUGUCCAGCACAUCUGUUUAUACAGACAAAACUAAUGAAAAACAGGAGAAUUCCUGUCUUUGGAAAAGGUAUUAAAAGUAAGAUGUAGUGAUUAAGAAAACUCCAACAUGCUAGUUCAAUUCCUAUAAGAUGUCUUCAUAAGAAAGGAAGAUUGCUGAAAUUCAUCCUCCACUACUUCCCUGGAUGUUCAGAACGACCCUGGGAGACAGGUGUGGUCACCAGUCCCACACCUCACAUCUGGGGCCCCGAGGCACAAGUGUCAGCAGUGACACCAAGGCUAGUCAGCCAGGUACGUGGGAUUUGAACCCAAGGCUACGUCUGGAGCCUGUGCUCUUUCAACUGUCCCAGAAGGAGAUGGUCCAGAGAAGUAACAAGGAUGUGUUAUCCCUCUGUAUUCAUUUGUUCAGCAAAUAUUUAUUGAGCACCUACCAUGUGCCAGGUCCAGGCGCCAGGAUCCAAGAAGGAAAGCAAACAGAUGGGAUUCUUACUUCACAUAGGGCCAAACAGCAGCCCUCCCUGUGGAGCAGGUAGACGGGCAUGGAGUGAAGCUCCUCACAGGUGACUAAUUACAGGUUGUGACUUUGUGGAACUCGUGGAAGCAGAGUGCUGAGGUUCUCUCCCAGCACUCAAAUGGAAGAGGACAAGGUCCUCACCUUCCUCCCAGCACUCCUCAUUAGGAUGAUGAGGAUGUACCAGGAAUAUUAGUAACUCCAUGUGGGGGGUGCUGGCUGUGUGCCAGCCAAUGUGCGACGUACCUUUACAGAUUGUUCACUCCUACAGUUAUCCCACGAUUGAGGCUCUACUGUUAUCCCCAUUUUAUAGAUGAGGAAACCAAGAUUUCAAGAAAUUAAGGGCAUUCUACAGGUUUCGCAGGGACAGGGCAGAGCCUACCUUCAAAGUCAUGUCAGGUCUUAUAUUUUCUUAAAACUUGUUUCCUUCUCCUCUAUGUCCCAGGAGCAUAUCUGUGUAGCAUAAAAAAAGGAUGCCACUUGUGCCCUUGGUCUGCUUUCAGUGCAGCAUUGCGUGGGUGACUGUAAGUGGUGCCACAUAUAAAUACAGGGCGUAUUCCAGAUGACACAGCACAGAGUGACCAGACUCAGGACUGGGGACAGAGGCCACUUGCUCUACACUAGAUCUGGGCCUGUCUUUCUAAGCACAGACAGGACCUUUAAAUUCCAGAGGCUAAUGAUGAUAAUACUGAUAGCAAUGACCACAGCACCCUGCCCUCCACAUGGCCAGCUCACAUAAUCCUUAGAGCAACCUGGGCGUAAGUACUAUUAUUCCCCUACUAGAAGGAAGAAACUCAGACAUCAAAAGCUUGUGUAUCUCACACAGUUAAGACCUGAGAGUUAGAACCCAGGUCCUCAGGCCUCCAAAGCCUGUGCUUUGGCCGCUGUGGUACACAGCAACUCUGCAAAAUGAAGCAAUUAAGAUCCAGAAGUUUCCCUUCCAGAUCCCCUGUACAAUAAUUGUAGGGUGAAAAAAGCUACGAAUUCAGUUCCCUGUUUAAAAAAAAAAAAAAACACAAGCCAUUUUACUAGGUCAGGUAAACAGAAUGAUAUUUGGACUAGCUUGGUCCAACUCUAAAGACUCAUAAUGGAACAUCUGAAUUAGGUUGGAAAAGGACCGAGUUACCCGUUAAUUGUGUCCCAGCUCGUGGUGCCGGUUGGCUCUGAGCACACAGGCAGCCUACACAGCCCCUCCUUAGCUGCCCAGAAUCUACCAGGAGCAGCAGAAAUGGGCCACACUCCCAGGCAAUCUCCACUGUGCCCGCUUCACAUGGUACCCUGAGCAGAAGGGAAGGGGUCAUUUUAUAGGAUAUGGUUGUCAGCCCACUCUGCAGGGAAGGUGAGCCUGUCCCCACCCAGGCUUCUUUCCACUUUGUGGCUUGUUCUCAUUAUGGGUGACAAGGAGGAUCCCACUGAAGUCAUCCAAAAUAUUUACAACCGGAGGCCCGGAUCACAAGGAAAGAAAUCAGACUACCCUCCCUCAUUGCUGCUGUCACAUUGACAACCAAAGUUCUAGCAAAUUUGGAUGGUCAACCCAAGAAGCAGUUCGAGCAUGUCCUAAAUAGAAAGUAUGUGUUGGGUAAAAUGGUUCUCAUCUCCCAGUGCCUCUCCUCUUCCAGGCUUCUGCAGCUCUGUCCACCUUCACUGCCCAGUGAUAGCUGGGCAGCACCCUCCCUGACAGCCCCCCAGUAACAGCCAGCUCUGAGAAGAACCUCUGAUAUUCUCUGCAUACACAACUGAUAAGACUUGCUGGAGUUUCCUCUGUUCACAACGAUUCAUAGGAGGAAGAAACCCCUAGAGAUGGAAUUUCAGAUGCCAGGAAUUUACAGAUGCCUAUAAAGCAGUUUAUCAUUCUGCAUAAUCACAAGACUGUCACUGUCUUAAAAAAGUCAAUUUCCAAUAAAUCAGACUGAUGUGGUACAGUGGACAGAGAGUCCCAAGACCUGGGCUGCACACCUGUCAGCUGUGUGUACUUGGGCAGACCCCUAGGGUAAGACUGAGGCCGCCCCAGUGCCUGUCAGGCUGUGCCUGGCACACUACAGGACUUUAUAUGGGACUUUCUUAGUCGCUAUGCAGAUGUGGUGAAAUGUGCUGAAGUCAGCAGAAAGA